GACGAACGCUGGCGGCGCGCUUAACACAUGCAAGUCGAGCGAAGCGGCGGACGAGUGAGCAACACGUGAGUAACCUGCCUUAGACAUUGGGAUAGCCUCGGGAAACCGGGAUUAAUACCAAAUGGUCUAAGAUGGACUCGAGUCCCAUAAGCUAGUUGGUGAGGAAACGGCCCACCAAGGCGACGAUGGGUAGCCGGCCUUAUAGGGUGAGCGGACACAUUGACACUGGGAAACGGUCGAAACUCUACGGGAGGCAGCAGUGGGGAAUAUUGCACAAUGGCGUGAGCGAUGAUGGAGCGACGCCGCUAGAACGAAGUAGGCUUUCGAGACGUAAAGUUCUUUUAUAUGGGAAGCGGUACCAAAAGAGAAAGCCCCGGCUAACUACGUGCCAGCAGCCGCGGUAAUAC
rnacentral:rRNA from 1 species